UACAGAGGGUGCGAGCGCUAAUCGGAAUUACUGGGCGUAAAGCGCGCGUAGGCGGCUUUUCAAGUCGAUUGUGAAAUCCCCGGGCUUAACCUGGGAACUGCAGUCGAGACUGUCUAGCUAGAGUAUGGGAGAGGGAAGUGGAAUUUCAGGUGUAGCGGUGAAAUGCGUAGAUAUCUGAAGGAACAUCAGUGGCGAAAGCGACUUCCUGGACCAAUACUGACGCUCAUGUGCGAAAGCGUGGGGAGCAAACAGG
rnacentral:rRNA from 1 species